rnacentral:rRNA from 1 species
GAGUUUGAUCCUGGCUCAGGACGAACGCUGGCGGCACGCCUAACACAUGCAAGUCGAACGGAGAUAUUUUGGUUUACUGAGAUAUCUUAGUGGCGGACGGGUGAGUAACACGUGAGCAACCUGCCUCUGAGAGAGGGAUAGCUUCUGGAAACGGAUGGUAAUACCUCAUAACAUAACGAAGCCGCAUGACUUUGUUAUCAAAGAUUUAUCACUCAGAGAUGGGCUCGCGUCUGAUUAGAUAGUUGGUGAGGUAACGGCCCACCAAGUCGACGAUCAGUAGCCGGACUGAGAGGUUGAACGGCCACAUUGGGACUGAGACACGGCCCAGACUCCUACGGGAGGCAGCAGUGGGGAAUAUUGCACAAUGGGGGAAACCCUGAUGCAGCGAUGCCGCGUGGAGGAAGAAGGUUUUCGGAUUGUAAACUCCUGUCUUAAAGGACGAUAAUGACGGUACUUUAGGAGGAAGCUCCGGCUAACUACGUGCCAGCAGCCGCGGUAAUACGUAGGGAGCGAGCGUUGUCCGGGAAUUACUGGGUGUAAAGGGAGCGUAKGCGGGAUGGCAWGUCAGAUGUGAAAACUAUGGGCUCAACCCAUAGACUGCAUUUGAAACUGUUGUUCU